AGAGGCAAAGGUGCACAAGGGCUUUUCCACCCACGCAGUGGGUUCGAGUGCACAAGAUUUUGUCCUGCCCAUGUUGUGAAUUGCAGCUGGCUGACCUUGGGUUCGAAGGUUCUUAACAAGGUUUUUCCCGUCCCACUGCGUGGAUCGCAUGAGGCAGGCCUCA
rnacentral:SRP_RNA from 1 species